rnacentral:lncRNA from 1 species
GGAUUAAGGGAGUGAAGCCCAGGGCAAGAAUCAACCAAAUAGGUAGAGUCCCGAUAGACUGGGAAGGUAGUUGUUCCACUCCUCUUUCUCGAUGUGAAUCAUAGCCCAGUUUCGUAAACAAGGGAAUGACCUAUAGAAAAGGUUGACUUCAACGAGUUGGGGAGCGAAGCAACUUCCGGUAGCUACCGAGCGUAAAGUUAGCUUUUGGCAGCUCAUGAACCGACCGGUCUUACCAACCUUAACUAGAGGGGCAUCCCCGGUUGUAGCUCUUUUUUUGCACCUCCGGUGCUUGUCCUGGCAAGGCUGGUUCAACUCGUCCGUAAACUUUCAUGCUAGCAGUGCUGCCCUGUGAACUUUAAAAUCAUCCGGGUCGAGCAGGUUUAUUGAACAGGGAGGCGAAUCCCAGGGUCAGACCACUAAUUCCAUCUAAUCUACUCUAUCUAGAUAAAUUCUCCGUAUUAUAAGUUCUCCAAUAAGAGGAGUUUACAUUUGAGAAUACUUUCCCCGCUCUAGAACAAUAGUCAGUAUAGUUGGCCUUAAGCCUAGCUGUGUUACGGAAUCGUGUUCAGGUCUUUCCUUUAUUUAAAUAGAAAGUAAGAAUGUACUUCUGCUGUAAGAGAAUGGCUUGCUGCGCCCGUCCUUGAGAUCUAGAAUAGAAGAGUCAACCUCGAGAAGAAUAAGCGUGGAUGCCGGCUCCGUGAAGGCUUUACAGAGAACUAGGCUUUUCGCUUCAUUGGAUAAAGGCGGAGAUCACUGC